GGGGUGGCCUUGAUGGCGUGUGUGGCGUAGAAGUCCCUUGUUAUUUUUUAGUAUUGUGACCUUGUGUGUGACCUCCGGCUGCCCCCAUCGCUCUAGGAAGGACAGGAGGAUAUGGAGGAUGGCUGGAAGGGAGACUGGUUUAUAAGCAGCCGCCUCCACGCCGCUGUGAGCACCGGGCGGAGGGUUACCUGAGGACACCUGGACCCCCGCACUGCGCCGCCUCUACUCCCAGAGAAGGAAAUGCGGAAGGAGGAAAUUGAGGAAGGUAGACUCUAAUUUGGACCACCACUCAACCACCACCACCACCCCCCACCACCACUCAACCACCACCACCACACCCCACCACCACCACCACGUACGCUGCCUCACCCGCUAAUUAGUCAACCCCUCGUAAGGCUUGUUGGCCGGCCCGAUGCUGGUAGAUAAGCUGUUUCGUGUUGUAAGAGUUCAAUAGACUCCUUCCACUACGAUGUUUAAGUUUUCGUUUUUCUUUUUUAUUAUUAAUUUUCUUGGAGUGGAAGUGGGCGUGCUGUAUCUCGGGGCGGUCUUAGAAGUAUCAUUAGGAGUGGUUUCGAGUGUGUGGGUCUAUUAAAGGGUUUGGAUUCUAAGUGGUUGGUUCAGGGAGUCUUUUUUCGGUAAUGUCUGCGUGGUAUUAAGACUU